rnacentral:lncRNA from 1 species
GGCGAUUGAGGGUGUGGUCGAGGAAAACGAAAGGGUGGUUGGCUUUAAUGGUGGAGGAGUGUUUGUGUUCGCCGGCGGUGCGUGUGAUCGGAGGUGAAGUGGUGGUUGUGAAGGCGUUUGAGAACACCGUUGGAAAAAGAUGAGAUUUUUGGUGUUGUGGUUGUAGUGGGAGUGGUGAUUUUGGAUUCCUGGAAAAGAAGAAGACGUUUUUCCCUCCUUUUAUUUUUCUUUUCUUUUUCUAUUUUUGAUAGAGUGUUAGUGGAGGGGUAAC